rnacentral:tRNA from 1 species
UCCCAUGUAGUCUAGUGGCUAGGAUAUCUAGCUUUCACCCAGAAGGCCCGAGUUCUAUUCCCGGCGUGGAAA